rnacentral:rRNA from 1 species
AUUGAACGCUGGCGGCAGGCCUAACACAUGCAAGUCGAGCGGGGUUUUCGGACCUAGCGGCGGACGGGUGAGUAAUGCGUAGGAAGCUACCCGAUAGAGGGGGAUACCAGUUGGAAACGACUGUUAAUACCGCAUAAUGUCUACGGACCAAAGUGUGGGACCUUCGAGCCACAUGCUAUCGGAUGCGCCUACGUGGGAUUAGCUAGUUGGUGGGGUAAUGACUCACCAAGGCGACGAUCCCUAGCUGGUUUGAGAGGAUGAUCAGCCACACUGGAACUGAGACACGGUCCAGACUCCUACGGGAGGCAGCAGUGGGGAAUAUUGGACAGUGGGCGCAAGCCUGAUCCAGCCAUGCCGCGUGUGUGAAGAAGGCCUUCGGGUUGUAAAGCACUUUCAGUAGGGAGGAAGGGUGUUGUGUUAAUAGCACAGCAUUUUGACGUUACCUACAGAAGAAGCACCUGCUAACUCUGUGCCAGCCGCCGCAGUAAAAC